rnacentral:rRNA from 1 species
AUUGAACGCUGGCGGCAGGCCUAACACAUGCAAGUCGAGCGGAUGAAGGGUGCUUGCUCCUGGAUUCAGCGGCGGACGGGUGAGUAAUGCCUAGGAAUCUGCCUGGUAGUGGGGUAUAACGUCCGGAAACGGGCGCUAAUACCGCAUACGUCCUGAGGGAGAAAGUGUGGGAUCUUCGGACCUCACGCUAUCAGAUGAGCCUAGGUCGGAUUAGCUAGUUGGUGGGGUAAAGGCCUACCAAGGCGACGAUCCGUAACUGGUCUGAGAGGAUGAUCAGUCACACUGGAACUGAGACACGGUCCAGACUCCUACGGGAGGCAGCAGUGGGGAAUAUUGGACAAUGGGCGAAAGCCUGAUCCAGCCAUGCCGCGUGUGUGAAGAAGGUCUUCGGAUUGUAAAGCACUUUAAGUUGGGAGGAAGGGCAGUAAGUUAAUACCUUGCUGUUUUGACGUUACCAACAGAAUAAGCACCGGCUAACUUCGUG